GCUUGGGUAGCUCAGUUGGUUAGAGCAUUCGCUUGAAGAGCGAGGGGUCGGCGGUUCGAGUCCGCCCCCAAGCA
rnacentral:tRNA from 1 species